UACGAAGGGGGCUAGCGUUGUUCGGAAUCACUGGGCGUAAAGGGCGCGUAGGCGGCCGAUCAAGUCGGGGGUGAAAGCCUGUGGCUCAACCACAGAAUUGCCUUCGAUACUGUUUGGCUUGAGACCGGAAGAGGUAAGUGGAACUGCGAGUGUAGAGGUGAAAUUCGUAGAUAUUCGGAAGGAACACCAGUGGCGAAGGCGACUUACUGGACAUCUGUUGACGCUGAGGUGCGAAAGCGUGGGGAGCAAACAGG
rnacentral:rRNA from 1 species